GGGGCCGUAGCUUAGACGGGAAAGCGCCCCCCUCGCACGGGGGAGAUUGGGGGUUCGACUCCCCCCGGCUCCACCA
rnacentral:tRNA from 1 species